rnacentral:rRNA from 1 species
UACGUAGGUGGCAAGCGUUGUCCGGAUUUAUUGGGUUUAAAGGGUGCGUAGGCGGUCUUUUAAGUCAGUGCUGAAAUAUCCCGGCUUAACCGGGAGGGUGGCAUUGAUACUGAAGGACUUGAGUACAGUCGAGGUAGGCGGAAUUGACGGUGUAGCGGUGAAAUGCUUAGAUAUCGUCAAGAACACCGAUAGUGUAGACAGCUUACUAGGCUGAAACUGACGCUGAGGCACGAAAAGUGUGGGGGAUCAAACAGG